rnacentral:rRNA from 1 species
GUCCACGCCGUAAACGAUGAUAACUAGCUGUCCGGGCACUUGGUGCUUGGGUGGCGCAGCUAACGCAUUAAGUUAUCCGCCUGGGGAGUACGGUCGCAAGAUUAAAAACUCAAAGGAAUUGACGGGGGGCCUGCACAAGCGGUGGAGCAUGUGGUUUAAUUCGAAGCAACGCGCAGAACCUUACCAGCGUUUGACAUCCCGCGCUAACCCGAGAGAUUGGGUGUUCCCUUCGGGGACGCGGUGACAGGUGCUGCAUGGCUGUCGU